rnacentral:misc_RNA from 1 species
CCGAGUUCUCGCAACUCCCAAACCCCCUGUGAACCUAUACCUGAACGUUGCUUCGGCGGGUUGAAACGCCCCGGACCGCGCCCGACCUCUCCCGCUCCGGCGGGCGUUGGCGGGCAAGGCCGGACCCAGGCGCCCGCCGGAGGACCCAAACUCUUGCUUCCGAACAGUGGGAUCACGCACUCUGAGUACAGCGAGAAUGAAUCA